rnacentral:rRNA from 1 species
GAUGAACGCUGGCGGCGUGCCUAAUACAUGCAAGUCGAACGCAUAGCGAAAGGUGCUUGCACCUUUCAAGUGAGUGGCGAACGGGUGAGUAACACGUGGACAACCUGCCUCAAGGCUGGGGAUAACAUUUGGAAACAGAUGCUAAUACCGAAUAAAACUUAGUGUCGCAUGACACAAAGUUAAAAGGCGCUUCGGCGUCACCUAGAGAUGGAUCCGCGGUGCAUUAGUUAGUUGGUGGGGUAAAGGCCUACCAAGACAAUGAUGCAUAGCCGAGUUGAGAGACUGAUCGGCCACACUGGGACUGAGACACGGCCCAAACUCCUACGGGAGGCUGCAGUAGGGAAUCUUCCACAAUGGGCGAAAGCCUGAUGGAGCAACGCCGCGUGUGUGAUGAAGGCUUUCGGGUCGUAAAGCACUGUUGUAUGGGAAGAACAGCUAGAAUAGGAAAUGAUUUUAGUUUGACGGUACCAUACCAGAAAGGGACGGCUAAAUACGUG